rnacentral:rRNA from 1 species
AUUGAACGCUGGCGGCAGGCCUAACACAUGCAAGUCGAGCGGAUGACGGGAGCUUGCUCCUUGAUUCAGCGGCGGACGGGUGAGUAAUGCCUAGGAAUCUGCCUGGUAGAGGGGGACAACGUUUCGAAAGGAACGCUAAUACCGCAUACGUCCUACGGGAGAAAGCAGGGGACCUUCGGGCCUUGCGCUAUCAGAUGAGCCUAGGUCGGAUUAGCUAGUUGGUGGGGUAAUGGCUCACCAAGGCGACGAUCCGUAACUGGUCUGAGAGGAUGAUCAGUCACACUGGAACUGAGACACGGUCCAGACUCCUACGGGAAGCAGCAGUGGGGAAUAUUGGACAAUGGGCGAAAGCCUGAUCCAGCCAUGCCGCGUGUGUGAAGAAGGUCUUCGGAUUGUAAAGCACUUUAAGUUGGGAGGAAGGGCAGUAAGUUAAUACCUUGCUGUUUUGACGUUACCGACAGAAUAAGCACCGGCUAACUCUGUGCCAGCCGCCGCGGUAAGAC